GCCUAACACAUGCAGUCGAGGGGCAGCACAGAAAUUCAGCAAUGAGUUUUGGUGGCGACCGGCGGACGGGUGCGUAACGCGUAUGCAACCUACCUAUUACAGGGGGAUAACGGGGGGAAACCUCCACUAAUACCCCAUAACAUUUUGACCGGCAUCGGUUGGAGUUAAAAACUCAGGUGGUAAUAGAUGGGCAUGCGUUGUAUUAGAUAGUUGGUGAGGUAACGGCUCACCAAGUCGACGAUACAUAGGGGGACUGAGAGGUUAACCCCCCACACUGGAACUGAGACACGGUCCAGACUCCUACGGGAGGCAGCAGUGAGGAAUAUUGGUCAAUGGGGGCAACCCUGAACCAGCCAUGCCGCGUGCAGGAAGACGGCUCUAUGAGUUGUAAACUGCUUUUAUAUAGGGAUAAAUUAUCGUACGUGUACGAUAUUGAAGGUACUAUAUGAAUAAGGAUCGGCUAACUCCGUGCCAGCAGCCGCGGUAAUACGGAGGAUCCAAGCGUUAUCCGGAUUUAUUGGGUUUAAAGGGUGCGUAGGCGGUUAGGUAAGUUAGCGGUGAAAUCUCGGGGCUCAACCCCGAAAUUGCCGUUAAAACUGCUUGACUAGAGAGUAGAUGCGGUAGGCGGAAUGUGUAGUGUAGCGGUGAAAUGCUUAGAGAUUACACAGAACCCCGAUUGCGAAGGCAGCUUACCAAUCUAUAUCUGACGUUGAGGCACGAAAGCGUGGGUAGCAAACAGGAUUAGAUACCCUGGUAGUCCACGCAGUAAACGAUGAUAGCUCGUUGUCGGCGAUACACAGUCGGUGACUUAGCGAAAGCGUUAAGCUAUCCACCUGGGGAGUACGUUCGCAAGAAUGAAACUCAAAGGAAUUGACGGGGGCCCGCACAAGCGGAGGAACAUGUGGUUUAAUUCGAUGAUACGCGAGGAACCUUACCCGGGCUUGAAAGUUAGUGACAGGGGUGGAAACACCCUCUCCCUUCGGGGCACAAAACUAGGUGCUGCAUGGUUGUCGUCAGCUCGUGCCGUGAGGUGUCGGAUUAAGUUCCAUAACGAGCGCAACCCUUGCCGUUAGUUGCCAUCAGGUCAUGCUGGGCACUCUAACGGGACUGCCGGUGUAAACCGCGAGGAAGGUGGGGAUGACGUCAAAUCAGCACGGCCCUUACGUCCGGGGCGACACACGUGUUACAAUGGUCGGUACAGAGGGCAGCUACCCAGCGAUGGGAUGCGAAUCUCGAAAGCCGAUCUCAGUUCGGAUCGGAGGCUGAAACUCGCCUCCGUGAAGUUGGAUUCGCUAGUAAUCGCGCAUCAGCCAUGGCGCGGUGAAUACGUUCCCGGGCCUUGUACACACCGCCCGUCAAGCCAUGGAAGCCGGGGGUGCCUGAAGUACGCUACCGCAAGGAGCGUCCUAGGGCAAAANCUGAAAAGGGG
rnacentral:rRNA from 1 species